rnacentral:rRNA from 1 species
UACGUAGGUGACAAGCGUUGUCCGGAAUUAUUGGGCGUAAAGGGAGCGCAGGCGGUUGGAAUAGUCUGAUGUGAAAGCCCACGGCUUAACCGUGGAAUUGCAUUGGAAACUGUCAACUUGAAUGCAGAAGAGGAAAGCGGAAUUCCAUGUGUAGCGGUGAAAUGCGUAGAUAUAUGGAGGAACACCAGUGGCGAAGGCGGCUUUCUGGUCUGUGAUUGACGCUGAGGCUACGAAAGGCGUGGGGAGCGAACAGGAUUAGACU